rnacentral:rRNA from 1 species
CUACGGGGGGCAGCAGUGGGGAAUUUUGGACAAUGGGCGAAAGCCUGAUCCAGCAAUACCGCGUGCAGGAAGAAGGCCCUCGGGUUGUAAACUGCUUUUGUACGGAACGAAACGGCGCGCUCUAAUAAAGUGCGCUAAUGACGGUACCGUAAGAAUAAGCACCGGCUAACUACGUGCCAGCAGCCGCGGUAAUACGUAGGGUGCGAGCGUUAAUCGGAAUUACUGGGCGUAAAGCGUGCGCAGGCGGUUUUGUAAGACAGGCGUGAAAUCCCCGGGCUCAACCUGGGAAUUGCGCUUGUGACUGCAAGGCUAGAGUACGGUAGAGGGGGGUAGAAUUCCGCGUGUAGCAGUGAAAUGCGUAGAUAUGCGGAGGAACACCGAUGGCGAAGGCAGCCCCCUGGACCUGUACUGACGCUCAUGCACGAAAGCGUGGGGAGCAAACAGGAUUAGAUACCCCUGUAGUC